CCAGACUCCUACGGGAGGCAGCAGUGGGGAAUAUUGCACAAUGGGCGAAAGCCUGAUGCAGCAACGCCGCGUGAAGGAAGACGGUUUUCGGAUUGUAAACUUCUGUUCUUAGUGAAGAAUAAUGACGGUAACUAAGGAGCAAGCCACGGCUAACUACGUGCCAGCAGCCACGGUAAUACGUAGGGGGCAAGCGUUAUCCGGAUUUACUGGGUGUAAAGGGAGCGUAGGCGGCCAGGCAAGUCAGAAGUGAAAGCCCGGGGCUCAACCCCGGGACUGCUUUUGAAACUGCCAGGCUGGAGUGUCGGAGGGGUAAGUGGAAUUCCUAGUGUAGCGGUGAAAUGCGUAGAUAUUAGGAGGAACACCAGUGGCGAAGGCGGCUUACUGGACGAUCACUGACGCUGAGGCUCGAAAGCGUGGGGAGCAAACAGGAUUAGAUACCCCAGUA
rnacentral:rRNA from 1 species